ACCUGGCUGGCUCAGUCAGUGGAGCGCGUGACUCUUGAUCUUGAGUUUGUGAGAUCAAGCCUCACAUUGGGUU
rnacentral:tRNA from 1 species